GGCCCGUUGGUGCAGUGAUUAACACAUCUCCCUUUCACGGAGAAGACCGCGGGUUUGAAUCCCGCACGGGUCA
rnacentral:tRNA from 1 species